rnacentral:rRNA from 1 species
GGAACCUUACCAGCUUUUGACAUGUCCGGUUUGAUCGGCAGAGAUGCCUUUCUUCAGUUCGGCUGGCCGGAACACAGGUGCUGCAUGGCUGUCGUCAGCUCGUGUCGUGAGAUGUUGGGUUAAGUCCCGCAACGAGCGCAACCCUCGCCCCUAGUUGCCAUCAUUCAGUUGGGAACUCUAGGGGGACUGCCGGUGAUAAGCCGCGAGGAAGGUGGGGAUGACGUCAAGUCCUCAUGGCCCUUACAGGCUGGGCUACACACGUGCUACAAUGGCGGUGACAAUGGGCAGCGAAGGGGUGACCUGGAGCUAAUCCCAAAAUGCCUUCUCAGUUCAGAUUGUACUCUGCAACUCGAGUACCAUGAAGGUGGAAUCGCUAGUAAUCGUGGAUCAGCA